AGGUCAAAGUGCCAGAGUAGACGCUCAUCAGACACCACAAAAGGCGCUGGUACAUUUUGACAGUAGGACGGCGGCCAUGGAAGUCAGAAUCUACCAAGGACUGUGUAACAACUCGCUUGCCGAAAGCACUGGCCCUGAAAUCGCGCAUGUAUUAGAACU
rnacentral:ncRNA from 1 species